GUACGAUCUGGGCAAAGCUACGGAAACGUGGUGACGCAAAACUAAAGGGGCUACAGCAUUUUGCUAUGCCAGCCAGUUGCCGUU
rnacentral:ncRNA from 1 species